rnacentral:rRNA from 1 species
GACGAACGCUGGCGGCGUGCUUAACACAUGCAAGUCGAACGGAAAGGCCCUGCUUGUGUGUGGUGCCCGCGUGGCGCACGGGUGUGUAACACGUGAGUAACCUGGCCUUUACUUUGGGAUAACUUCAGGCAACUGCGGCUACUACCGGCGAGGAGCGCCUGCUGCAUGGUGGUGGUCGGAAAGUUUAGGCGGUAAGGGAUGUACUCGCGGGUUAUGAGCUGGUUGGUUGGGUACUUGCUUACCAAGGCUUUGACGGGUAGCCGGCCUGAGAGGGUGACCGGCGACAUGGGGACUGAGGGACGCACCAGUCGGCAAUGGGAGGCAGCAGGCGGGAGUAUGGCACAAUGGGCGGAAGCCUGAUGAAGCAACGCCGGGUGCGGGAUGACGGCCUUCGUGUUGGAAACGGCUGUAGGUUGAGACGAUGCUGGAGUGACGGUAAUGGGUGAAGAAGCACCGGCUAACUACGUG